AGAAUCAACGCUGGCGGCGUGCCUAACACAUGCAAGUCGCACGAGAAAGGGGAGCAAUCCCUGAGUACAGUGGCGCACGGGUGAGUAACACGUGAAUAAUCUACCUCCGAGUGGGGAAUAACUGAGAGAAAUCUUAGCUAAUACCGCAUAACACUUACGAGUCAAAGCAGCAAUGCGCUUGGAGAGGAGUUCGCGGCCGAUUAGUUAGUUGGCGGGGUAAUGGCCACCAAGACGAUGAUCGGUAUCCGGCCUGAGAGGGCGCACGGACACACUGGAACUGAAACACGGUCCAGACUCCUACGGGAGGCAGCAGUGGGGAAUUUUGCGCAAUGGGGGAAACCCUGACGCAGCAACGCCGCGUGGAGGAUGAAGCCCUUGGGUGUAAACUCCUUUCGAUCGGGAAGAUAAUGACGGUACCGAUAUAAGAAGCCCGGCUAACUUCGCGCCAGCAGCCGC
rnacentral:rRNA from 1 species